AUUGAACGCUGGCGGCAUGCCUUACACAUGCAAGUCGAACGGCAACGCGGGGCAACCUGGCGACGAGUGGCGAACGGGUGAGUAAUGUAUCGGAACGUGCCCAGCUGUGGGGGAUAACUGCUCGAAAGAGCAGCUAAUACCGCAUACGACCUGAGGGUGAAAGCGGGGGAUCGCAAGACCUCGCGCAAUUGGAGCGGCCGAUAUCAGAUUAGGUAGUUGGUGGGGUAAAGGCCCACCAAGCCAACGAUCUGUAGCUGGUCUGAGAGGAAGACCAGCCACACUGGGACUGAGACACGGCCCAGACUCCUACGGGAGGCAGCAGUGGGGAAUUUUGGACAAUGGACGCAAUUCUGAUCCAGCCAUGCCGCGUGCGGGAAGAAGGCCUUCGGGUUGUAAACCGCUUUUGUCAGGGAAGAAACGCUCUGGGUUAAUACCUCGGGGUAAUGACGGUACCUGAAGAAUAAGCACCGGCUAACUACGUGCCAGCAGCCGCCGCGGUAA
rnacentral:rRNA from 1 species